GCACCCCAGAUGGGCGGGGCCACCCGUC
rnacentral:rRNA from 1 species